CGUCCACUCAGGAGGUGCCCUACAGUACUCGUCCAAUCAGGAGGUGCCCUACAGUACUCGUCCAAUCAGGAGGUGCCCUACAGUACUCGUCCAAUCAGGAGGUGCCCUACAGUACUCGUCCAAUCAGGAGGUGCCCUACAGUACUCGUCCAAUCAGGAGGUGCCCUACAGUACUCGUCCAAUCAGGAGGUGCCCUACAGUACUCGUCCAAUCAGGAGGUGCCCUACAGUACUCGUCCAAUCAGGAGGUGCCCUACAGUACUCGUCCAAUCAGGAGGUGCCCUACAGUACUCGUCCAAUCAGGAGGUGCCCUACAGUACUCGUCCAAUCAGGAGGUGCCCUACAGUACUCGUCCAAUCAGGAGGUGCCCUACAGUACUCGGCCAUUAACCGUGGUGUUGUGCUGCCAUCAGUACUGGGCUAUAUUCCUCAAGCCCUGGGCAGGAUAGGGAUCGACAGAGUGGGGACUAGGGAACAGGCAAUGAAGGGUCUGAUAGUGACCAGGCACCUGAGUGGUGCAGUAGUCUAAGGCACUGCAUCUCGUUGCUUCACCGCAGUCCCUGGUUCGAAUCCAGGCUGCAUCACAUCUGGUUGUGAUUGGGAGUCCCACAGGGCUGUGUGCAAUUGGCCCAGCGUUGUCCUGUUUGGCUGGGGUAGGCCAUCAUUGUAAAAUAAGAAUUGUUCUUAACUGACUUGCUUAGUUAAAUAAAUGUUUAAAAAAUGUAUUAAUUAAACCUGCCCUAGCUGGGGAUAGCAGACAAGAUGUCAGAAGGAACUGUCAAAAGCAGAAAAACAUUUGA